rnacentral:rRNA from 1 species
UACGAAGGGGGCUAGCGUUGUUCGGAAUCACUGGGCGUAAAGCGCACGUAGGCGGAUUGUUAAGUCGGGGGUGAAAUCCUGGAGCUCAACUCCAGAACUGCCUUCGAUACUGGAAAGCUCGAGUCCGGGAGAGGUGAGUGGAACUGCGAGUGUAGAGGUGAAAUUCGUAGAUAUUCGCAAGAACACCAGUGGCGAAGGCGGCUCACUGGCCCGGUACUGACGCUGAGGUGCGAAAGCGUGGGGAGCAAACAGG